rnacentral:rRNA from 1 species
UACGUAGGGCGCAAGCGUUAUCCGGAAUUAUUGGGCGUAAAGAGCUCGUAGGCGGUUUGUCGCGUCUGCCGUGAAAGUCCGGGGCUCAACUCCGGAUCUGCGGUGGGUACGGGCAGACUAGAGUGAUGUAGGGGAGACUGGAAUUCCUGGUGUAGCGGUGAAAUGCGCAGAUAUCAGGAGGAACACCGGUGGCGAAGGCGGGUCUCUGGGACGGUACUGACGCUGAGGAGCGAAAGCAUGGGGGAGCGAACAGG